CCUACGGGGGGCAGCAGUGGGGGAUAUUGCACAAUGGGGGAAACCCUGAUGCAGCGACGCCGCGUGGGUGAAGAAGCGCCUCGGCGCGUAAAGCCCUGUCAGCAGGGAAGAAAAUGACGGUACCUGAAGAAGAAGCCCCGGCUAACUACGUGCCAGCAGCCGCGGUAAUACGUAGGGGGCAAGCGUUAUCCGGAUUUACUGGGUGUAAAGGGGGCGCAGACGGCGCUGCAAGCCAGGAGUGAAAGCCCGGGGCCCAACCCCGGGACUGCUCUUGGAACUGCGUGGCUAGAGUGCAGGAGGGGCAGGCGGAAUUCCUGGUGGAGCGGUGAAAUGCGUAGAUAUCAGGAGGAACACCGGUGGCGAAGGCGGCCUGCUGGACUGCAACUGACGUUGAGGCCCGAAAGCGUGGGGAGCAAACAGGAUUAGAUACCCCAGUAGUC
rnacentral:rRNA from 1 species